AAUUUUGAAGGGCCGCAGUAUUUUGACUGUGCAAAGGUAGCAUAAUCAUUUGCCUUUUAAUUAGAGGCUAGUAUGAAUGGUUGAACGAAAUACAAACUGUCUCAUUUUUAUAAUUUUAAUAAUUUAGCUUUCUAGUUAAAAGGCUUGAAUAUUAUUAGAGGACGAGAAGACCCUAUAGAACUUUAUAUAUUUUUAUUUAGAUUUAUAUAGUAAAAUAUUUUUAUUUAUUCAAAUGUGUAUUUUGUUGGGGUGACAGGGAAAUAAAUAUAACUUUCUUAAAUACUUAAACAUUGAUUAUUGAAUUUUUGAUCCAUUAAUAUUGAUUAUUAGAAUAAGUUACCUUAGGGAUAACAGCGUAAUUUUGUUGGAGAGUUCAUAUCUAUAAUAAAGUUUGCGACCUCGAUGUUGAAUUAAAGAAAUUUUAGAGUGCAGAAGCUUUAAGUAAUAGGUCUGUUCGACCUUUAAAUCUUUACAUGAUCUGAGUUCAAACCGA
rnacentral:rRNA from 1 species